UACGUAGGGUGCGAGCGUUAAUCGGAAUUACUGGGCGUAAAGCGUGCGCAGGCGGUUUUGUAAGCCAGAUGUGAAAUCCCCGGGCUUAACCUGGGAAUGGCAUUUGGGACUGCAAGGCUGGAGUGCGGCAGAGGAGACUGGAAUUCCUGGUGUAGCAGUGAAAUGCGUAGAUAUCAGGAGGAAUACCGAUGGCGAAGGCAGGUCUCUGGGCUGACACUGAUGCUCAUGCACGAAAGCGUGGGGAGCAAACAGG
rnacentral:rRNA from 1 species